GCUUACUGAUAAAUAUAGCACUGUCUAACAAUAAUAGGCGCUCACGUGUAUAAAAAAACCUAGAGUCAUGGUUAUCAUGCGACCUUUGACCCUGCUCUGUCUUGCGAUGAUGUUUGGGAACUGCGUCAAUAAAGCUUUAGCCCAGACACCGGUGCAACUGGGCGUCGAUCCUGCAUAUUGCGGCGGUUGUCAGACUGGUGAAUACUGUCAGAUCUUCUACAAACCCUGCACACGCCCGCCCCCGGGAUGCCUCACCUGUGAAUGUCUACCUGUCUACUACUGUAUAACAAUGGU